AUUGAACGCUGGAGGUAUGCUUAACACAUGCAAGUCGAACGCGAAAGUUACUUCGGUAACGAGUAGAGUGGCGGACGGGUGAGUAACGCGUAGGAAUCUACCUAGAUGUGGGGGAUGACAUGGUGAAAAUCAUGCUAAUACCGCAUAUGUCCCACGGGAUAAAGAGGGCCUCUUCUUGAAAGCUCUUGCAUUUAGAUGAGCCUGCGUCGGAUUAGCUUGUUGGCGGGGUAAUGGCCCACCAAGGCGACGAUCCGUAGCUGGUCUGAGAGGAUGAUCAGCCACACUGGGACUGAGACACGGCCCAG
rnacentral:rRNA from 1 species